rnacentral:lncRNA from 1 species
GCUCUGCUAAGAGUAUAUGAGUAAUUUCCACGAUGGAUAGAAGACAUCUGGUUAGACACUUCCUAUAGUGGAUCACGUGGACUAUUGGUUAGAAGCCAGGAUUGUCACUCUGACGACCCGGAAUCGAGUCUCGGUCAGGGGGAUAAAAUUUGUAUUUCUAUAUCAAAUGCAUUACUGCAUUUUACCAUCUUCUCACAUAAAUAUAACCUCAGUUAACUGAUUUGUGACUUGAAUUUCUGUUUCAUUUCUGUCAAGUGCAGAAAUGAAAUGGAAAAUAAAAUUCACUUUUAUUCCAUAUAGAAAGACCUUAUUAUUUCUAGUAUAUUUUUAGCCUGAUUAUAUUAAUUCUUGAAUAAUAGAUACAAUGUAACUUGUAUAUAUAUUAAAUGAAAUUGCCUUUAAACAAAAGGCAAAUAUACUGAUGUUGCAUAUCAACAUCAAUAUAUUUCACGAAUUGAAUGUAAGUAAAGGAUUAGGCCUUUCCUCCUAGACAGAGACAGAAAUUUGGUGGAAAAAAAACAUAGCGUUCACGAUACAAAAUAUUUAACACUGACAGGAUCUACCUAGAGCUGAUACUGAUCUCUCCUUGUCAUCAAAGAUCUUUUCAACUUUUGACAUCUUGAACAUUUGUUAUAAGUAAGAAAACGAUAGUGAAUUCACACUUUGUGUAUGUAUAUUUCUGUGUGUGUUUAUCAGUUGCUCCCUUUAUAAUGAUAUAUUCACAUAUAUGUAUGAAUAAAUACACACACGCACACACACACACAGAGAAACGAAAUUGGAGUAUAACAAGUCACAUAAAUUACAGGCCUAUGCUACAGGUGACGGUGGCUAAAGCAAAGAAUGGCCUUGGAGCAAGAUCAGACAUUGGAGCAAGAAAAAAUGGCCUUGGGCCACAAAAAAAAUAAAAGGCCUUUGAGCAAAAUCAGACCUUGGAGCAAGAUUUGGCCCACCACGUUGAAAGGGGAAGAAUAUACUUCCCAGAACGAGGGUGAUGAUGGUGAUAUGGGAUGGUGGAAGUCAAUAAUAUCACAGCAAACCAAACCGAUGUUUUAUUCGUUAUACUUGUAUUUACAUGCUUACGAAACGAGAUAAAAUAUUCGUCUUCAUUUGUGUAUAUCAAAUGUGAGUCUACAGAAAAUAUUUCAUGAGGCAAGUUGCUUCCAGCGAUAUAUUCCUACCUCAUGAUUUAUAUCAACAAUUCAGCCAACAUAGUACUUGUCUAUAGUAAUGAAAUACAGACAAUAUAUCUGA